rnacentral:rRNA from 1 species
AGUACGGCCGCAAGGUUAAAACUCAAAGGAAUUGACGGGGACCCGCACAAGCGGUGGAGCAUGUGGUUUAAUUCGAUGCAACGCGAAGAACCUUACCUGGUCUUGACAUCCUGCGAACUUUCUAGAAAUAGAUUGGUGCCUUCGGGAACGCAGUGACAGGUGCUGCAUGGCUGUCGUCAGCUCGUGUCGUGAGAUGUUGGGUUAAGUCCCGUAACGAGCGCAACCCCUAUCCUUAUUUGCCAGCACAUCAUGGUGGGAACUAUAAGGAGACUGCCGGUGAUAAACCGGAGGAAGGCGGGGACGACGUCAAGUCAUCAUGGCCCUUACGACCAGGGCUACACACGUGCUACAAUGGGAAGGACAAAGAGCCGCGAAGCCGCGAGGUGUAGCUAAUCUCAUAAACCUUUUCGUAGUCCGGAUUGGAGUCUGCAACUCGACUCCAUGAAGUCGGAAUCGCUAGUAAUCGUAGAUCAGAAUGCUACGGUGAAUACGUUCCCGGGUCUUGCACACACCGCCCGUCAUACCAUGGGAGUGGGUUGCACCAGAAGUGGCUAGUCUAACUUUAUUGAGGACGGUCACCACGGUGUGAUUCAUGACUGGGGUAAAGUCGUAACAAGGUAACC